rnacentral:rRNA from 1 species
CCUACGGGAGGCUGCAGUGAGGAAUAUUGGUCAAUGGGCGCGAGCCUGAACCAGCCAAGUAGCGUGAAGGAUGACUGCCCUACGGGUUGUAAACUUCUUUUAUAAAGGAAUAAAGUGAGGCACGUGUGCCUUUUUGUAUGUACUUUAUGAAUAAGGAUCGGCUAACUCCGUGCCAGCAGCCGCGGUAAUACGGAGGAUCCGAGCGUUAUCCGGAUUUAUUGGGUUUAAAGGGAGCGUAGAUGGGUUGUUAAGUCAGUUGUGAAAGUUUGCGGCUCAACCCCGGCCGGCCGUUGAAACUGGUGUUCUAGAGUUGGAGAGAAGUAGGCGGAAUUCGUGGUGUAGCGGUGAAAUGCAUAGAUAUCACGAAGAACUCCGAUUGCGAAGGCAGCAUACCGGCUCCAUACUGACGCUGAGGCACGAAAGCGUGGGGAUCGAACAGGAUUAGAUACCCCAGUAGUC